rnacentral:rRNA from 1 species
UACGUAGGGGGCUAGCGUUGUCCGGAAUCAUUGGGCGUAAAGAGCGUGUAGGCGGCCCGGUAAGUCCGCUGUGAAAGUCGGGGGCUCAACCCUCGAACGCCGGUGGAUACUGUCGGGCUAGAGUGCGGAAGGGGCGAGUGGAAUUCCUGGUGUAGCGGUGAAAUGCGCAGAUAUCAGGAGGAACACCGAUUGCGAAGGCAGCUCGCUGGGACGUAACUGACGCUGAGACGCGAAAGCGUGGGGAGCAAACAGG